GACGAACGCUGGCGGCGUGCCUAAUACAUGCAAGUCGAACGCUUCUUUCCUCCCGAGUGCUUGCACUCAAUUGGAAAGAGGAGUGGCGGACGGGUGAGUAACACGUGGGUAACCUACCCAUCAGAGGGGGAUAACACUUGGAAACAGGUGCUAAUACCGCAUAACAGUUUAUGCCGCAUGGCAUAAGAGUGAAAGGCGCUUUCGGGUGUCGCUGAUGGAUGGACCCGCGGUGCAUUAGCUAGUUGGUGAGGUAACGGCUCACCAAGGCCACGAUGCAUAGCCGACCUGAGAGGGUGAUCGGCCACACUGGGACUGAGACACGGCCCAGACUCCUACGGGAGGCAGCAGUAGGGAAUCUUCGGCAAUGGACGAAAGUCUGACCAAGCAACGCCGCGUGAGUGAAGAAGGUUUUCGGAUCGUAAAACUCUGUUGUUAGAGAAGAACAAGGACGUUAGUAACUGAACGUCCCCUGACGGUAUCUAACCAGAAAGACACGGCUAACUACGUG
rnacentral:rRNA from 1 species